rnacentral:rRNA from 1 species
UACGUAGGCAGCGAGCGUUGUUCGGAUUUACUGGGCGUAAAGAGUGCGUAGGCGGUUUUCUAAGUUUGGUGUGAAAUCUCCCGGCUCAACUGGGAGGGUGCGCCGAAGACUGGAAGGCUUGAGUAUGGGAGAGGUAAGCGGAAUUCCUGGUGUAGCGGUGAAAUGCGUAGAUAUUCGCAAGAACACCAGUGGCGAAGGCGGCUCACUGGCCCGGUACUGACGCUGAGGUGCGAAAGCGUGGGAGCAAACAGG